CCCACACUGAGUAGGGUGCAUGCCGUGA
rnacentral:piRNA from 1 species